UUUUUAAUUGAUCUUUUAAAUCAUACUAAUUCUUGUUAGACUUUGUUUUGAUUUUGUGACUUAAUUAACUUUUAACUAUGAAAUGUUCCCUUAGCUCUAGGUGUUUAGAAUUAGGCUUAGUUAGUUAAUUUGAGAAAUCCCUAGGGUAUUCAAGUCUUUAUCUCCUUGUACAUUGAAUUUUCAACAGAUUUUUCCAAUUGAUUGAAUUGAUCAUAGUUCGCUUUGAUCGAUUAAAUUCUUUGUCUGUGCUCAAUUCC
rnacentral:lncRNA from 1 species